rnacentral:misc_RNA from 1 species
GAUGAAGAACGUAGCGAAAUGCGAUAAGUAAUGUGAAUUGCAGAAUUCAGUGAAUCAUCGAAUCUUUGAACGCACAUUGCGCCCGCCAGUAUUCUGGCGGGCAUGCCUGUUCGAGCGUCAUUUAAACCUUCAAGCUCAGCUUGGUGUUGGGUGACUGUCCGCCGCCUCCGGGCGCGUGGACUCGCCUCAAAAUUAUUGGCGGCCGGUACAUUGGCUUCGAGCGCAGCAGAAACGCGAACUCGGGCCCGUCGUAUUGGCUCCCAGAAGCUAUCUUCACAAUUUUGACCUCGGAUCAGGUAGGGAUACCCGCUGAACUUAAGCAUAUCAAUAAGCGGAGGA